CGUCUUCUCCAACUCAAUUACCACAAACUUUUUUUUGUUUCUUCUAUCAUCUUCUCAGAUUCUAUUGAACAAAAGAACAAUCCAUGUUCUCUUGGAUCUUUGAUUUUUAAAGUAAAAAUCAUCAUUUUUGAGAUCUGGGAGUAGAUAAAGAUUCUAUUUUUUCUCCCUUUAAAUUAAUUCCACUAAAGAUGCUAAAAGCAGUAGUCGUCUUUCACGGGCACACAAAAUUAAACCAAACAAACAAACAAUCCGAGAGAGAGAGGUUUGCGAAUCUGGGUUUUCAAUUCAGGUGUUAAUACAAGAUUUUGAUCAAUUCCCAUCUCAAAGGAAGACGAGAUUCGAUCCGAUCGAUCAGAUUUGUAGAAGAAGAAAUGGCGAAUCUGUAUGUGAAAGUUGUUCCACCACCGGAUAUGAACAGGAAUACGGAAUGGUUCAUGUAUCCAUGAUUUUGGACAACUUACAUGCUCAGUCUCUUCUUCGCUUGGCUCGUUGUUCUCUCUAUGUCGAGUUUUUCCCCUGGAAUGGCUUGGACUGUUGUUAAUCUCGCUCACUUCGUUGUGGGCAUAUGGAGGAGACAUUAAGGUUUAUUUCAGGAAUGGAGAAGAUUAGACUCAAAGACACCCAAGAAGGAGUUGUGUUUGGUAAUUUAGACUCUGUUUUCUCGAAGAUGCUGCACCAAAUGGGACUUGUUUUUCCUUGUUCCACUGCGGUUUUCAUCAAUUCUUUUGAAGAACUGGAUCCUACCAUUUUGUUUUUCUUUUGUUCUAAGAUUACAAGCCUUUUCUAGUUCUGAUUUCAUUCAUUGUGAUUGGAAGAUUUUAAGGUUUGUUGAUAUACUCUUAUACUGUCUUUGGGUAUACUUUGGUAUAUGUUUUGUGUGCCUUAUGAAAAA